AAAUUACUCCCUCCGUCCGAGAAAACUUGUGCCAAGCUUGUCUCUCAAAUGGAUGUAUCUAGCACUAACUUGGUGCUAGAUACCUUCAUUUGAGGGAUAAGCUUUUUUGGAUGGAGGGAGAACCUG
rfam:Triticum aestivum genome assembly, contig: Triticum_aestivum_CS42_TGACv1_scaffold_271451_3DS